AUCAAUUUGAAUACUAAAAAGUAAAAUAGGGAAAGAAAAGAGCCACACGUCAACAAGAGCGAGUGUCCAAAGUUCCGUUGAUUUGGCUUCUGCCUUCAGUGUGUUCUCAUCGACGCGAUGAGCAGCGGCGGGAGGAACUUCCCAUCGAGAGGUCAUCCGUUUCGCCGGCCGCCGCGUUCCGCCACGAAACCGCAACGUCCGUCUUCGCUCUUGGCGCGGAAGCGGGAAUUGAAGUUGAACGGAGGAUCUCCUUCCUUUAUCAGGUUUCCUCGUCGUAUCAAAUGCUCCUCCUUCGAUGCUUGUUCUUCUACAGCAGAUGGCGCAGCUGGUUACCGUCGAUUAUCCUCUCCCUCCGGUUCCGAGUCGGAAGAUAUUGCUUGCGUUGUUGAUCGCGGCGUCGUCGAUGUUGAUUAUCGAUCAUCGGUUUCCUCCUCUUCUCCCGCCGCCGUUGCUGAUUGUUCCGUCGCUGGUUACCGUCGAUCAUCAACUCCCUCCGGUUCCGAGCCGGGCGGUGUUACAUCUGUUGUUGAUAACCUCGAUGCUAAUUAUCGAUUAUCCUCCCCCUCUUCUCCUGCCGCCGUUGCUGAUUCUCAGUUGAAAUACGAUGUGUUUAUCAGUUUCCGAGGACCAGAUUCUCGUGACGGUUUCGUGAGCCACCUCUACGACGAUCUGUGCCGAGAAGGCACUGAAACUUUUAUAGACAGUGAAAAGCUCUACGCAGGCGAAGAGAUCAAGACGGCGUUAACCGAUGCGAUUGAGCGAUCGAGGAUCUCGGUGGUGGUUUUUACCAAGGAAUACGCCUCGUCCAAGUGGUGUUUGAGAGAGCUUGCAAAGAUAAUGGAGUGUAGGAGGAGCAGGGGCCAGCUAGUUUUGCCAGUCUUCCUCGGAGUAGAACCCAUGGAAGUUAGGUGGCAGACGGGAUGCUACGAUGUGGCCUUUGCUAGGCAUGAUAAGGCUCCCGAGGGAUCACCUUUAGCUGAGGACGUAAAGCGGUGGAGGAAAGCCAUGACUGAGGCAGCCGAUCUCUCUGGAUUUGAUUCUACUGCUGUGAGGCCUGCUUCUAAACUUGUGGACAAAAUUGUUGCACGCAUUUUGGAGAACCUUGAAAGCAAUUGCUUGCGUGAAGAGGAGGGCUUGGUUGGAGCUUAUCCUCAGGUAAAAGAAGUGGAAGAGUUGUUGGAAAAUGGAUCAGAUGAAGUGCAGACUAUAGGAAUACAUGGACUUGGGGGUAGUGGAAAGACCGCCAUUGCUGGUGCUGUUUUUAAUCGUCAACAUCAAAAGUUUGAUAGCUAUUGCUUCCUUGCAAAUGUCAGAGAAGAAUCUGAAAAGCAUGGGCUUCUUGGCUUAAGAAACGAACUACUACGUCAAAUCCUUGGCCAGACGGAUAUAAACAUUGCUACACCUGACAUUGGAUCCAGCAAUAUAAGGAAUCGUCUACGCCGGAAAAGAGUUCUUGUUGUUCUCGACGAUGUUAGCAGCAUAACUCAGCUGGACUUUUUAAUCAAACAAGCGACUUACUAUGGUCCGGGAAGUAGAGUUCUUAUUACAACAAGAGACAUGAAUGUAAUCAAGAAUGCUAGCAAAGUUUAUUCGGUGAAAGGACUAUCUGGCAGUGACUCGCUUGAACUGUUUUCACGUUGCGCCUUCAAACAGAGCUAUCCUCCUGACGAAUAUUCGCAAUUGUCGAUGAGGGCAGCUGCUUAUGCAAAGGGGCUCCCUUUGGCUUUAGAAGUUCUGGGUUCCUUUCUUUGUAAAAAAACUGUGCUAGAGUGGGAAAGCGCGUUAAGAAGACUCGAAAGUUCUCCUGAGAAAGAAAUCUCGAGAGUACUGCGUAUAGGUUAUGACGGACUCAAUGAUGAAGAGAAAACGAUGUUUCUCGAUAUCGCUUGUUUCUUCAAUGGGGAACAAAGAAGUCGCGUAACUGCUCAUUGGGAUGCUUGUGGUAUAUCUGUGGAUAUUGGGAUACGCGCACUUCUUGAUAAGUGUAUGAUUACCUUAUCUGAUGAUAGGCUGCAUAUGCAUGAACUGUUUCAAGAAAUGGGUAGAGAAAUUGUACGGCAGGAGUCACCUCUGGAUCCCGGUAAACGUAGCAGGCUGUGGAGCUCUGAGGAUGGCCACGAAGUCUUAACAGAAAAUACGGGAACUAUAUCAACUGAAGGCAUAUGCUGGGACAUUUCUGAAAUAGAAGAGAUGCAGAUCGGCCGUCAUGCUUUUGCAGGGAUGCCUAAUCUGAGGUCUCUGAAAAUCAAUUCUCACACUCGGUUUAAUGAAGAAAAUUGCAAAAUCUAUCUUCCGGAAGGCCUUGACGAUUUCCCUCAUAAACUGCGUCUACUUCAAUGGGAGUACUAUCCUUUAGAAAAUCUUCCAUCAAGCUUUAAACCAAAUCACCUGGUUGAACUUAUAAUGCCCAAAAGCAAACUUGAGCGUUUGUGGGAAGGGGUACAGCAUCUACCUUGUUUAAAAGUGAUUGAUGUCAGCAACUCCCCGUUCCUGAAGGAGUUUCCAGACGUGUCAAAUGCUCCCAGGCUUGAACGUAUUGUUGCCAGAGGAUGUGGAGAUUUAGUGACCAUUCCAACUCCAAAAAAGAAGUUGAAAUCUCUUGAGCACUUGGAUCUUUCUGGAUGCUCAAAGAUAACAGUUUUUCCAGAGAUUUCAUGGAAUAUCAAAACGUUGUCACUGGCUGAUACUGGAAUAGAGGAAAUUCCACCAUCAAUUGAAAACUUCCAUCAGCUUGUUUACUUAGAUAUGAGAGGGUGCAAGAUGCUCAAGAAUGUUGCACAAAUCGGUCACAAAUUGGAGAAGCUAGAAUUUCUGGAUCUAUCAGGUUGUUCUAGUGUUACAAGCUUUCCAGAUAUUUCUAACAAUGUGGAAGUACUUAUUCUCAAUGGGACUGCCAUAGAAGAGAUCCCGUCCGAUAUCAAGUACAUGAGAAGACUAAAGGUACUGGAGAUAAAGAAUUGUCCUAGGUUGAAGGGUCUUCCGAUCAGUAUAUGGGAGUUACCGUCUCUUGUGGAACUUAAUAUUUCUGGAUGUCCAAACUUCACAAGCUUUCCUGAAAUCACAGAGAUAAUGCCCAGCCUAGAGUAUCUUUCUUUGAACGGAACGGCCAUUACGGAGUUACCUUCUUCAAUUGAGAACUUCACUGGCCUUUUGUCUCUAGAUCUUGAGUAUUGCAAAAAUUUCCGCCGUCUUCCGGACAAAUUAUCCAAAUUAAAGUUCCUGAAGGACCUUAAUAUCUCUGGCUGCUCAAAUUUGGAUAACUUGCCAAGAAGCAUUGGAAAUCAUGGAUCUUUGGUUAAUGCCAGAGCAAGAGGAUGCAAAAAAGAAAUUGCUAAUUGUUUCGGGCCUGGCUUAAUCUCACUGAAAACUCUAGAUUUAAGCGACUGUGGAAUCACGGAGUUUCCCGAGGCUCUAACACUUAUUUCUACCCUGACGGAGCUAGAUCUAAGCCAGAAUUGUUUCAGCGCAAUACCUCCAAGCAUCAAGGAUCUUCAAGAGCUCCAAAGUCUCGAUUUAAGCCAUUGCCAGGAGCUUCAAUCUCUAUCAGGAGUCCCAGCUGGUCUGACAAGGCUUAAUGUUCUAAACUGCAGAUCGCUGGAAAUGGUUGUACUCGGUAACUCUUCUGAGCUUCAGCUUUAUCCUUUAAACGAUGUUGAAACCUUUGUGUUUGCUGGUUGUACAUCACUAAGCCAUUAUGCGAUAGAAAAUAUCCAGGCAUUUGCAAGACGCAGAAUCUAUGUCCUGGCAUCCCAUUUGGGUGUUACCUUAAACUUUAGAGGUGGCGACCUUUCUCUCAACAGUUGGAUGAAACCACAACAACUGCGGUAUUUACUCUCUAGCAUGUACGGAUAUGGAAGCCUCCACGAAGCACUGAUAGGAUUACAUGCAGCUUUUUUCAGUAAUGAACUGAUAUCAAAGGAGCAUCCAUCUAGGCUACUUAGUCGCAUACUCCAUGAUUUUCAUGAACGCUAUAGGCUAAGUAUUCAGGAUAUGCUGCACUUCUUCUCCUUGAUCGCGCAUCUAUAUUUGUAUUACCAAGGAAAGCCUUCAACCAAUUUCUGCUUUCCAAGUGCUGACAUUCCUGAAUGGUUUUGCCACCAAAGAAAUGGGUCAUUUAUUGCGGUUAUGGUUCAGCGUCCCGAACGUUCAGAUGAGAUUUCUACUUUGGCAGGUUUUGCUAUAUCUGUUCUCGUUGCAUUUGACGGCUACAAUGAUGACAAGGGUUUCAGCAUCAAAUAUGAAUGUCAUUUCCAUUCCAAAUCUUUUGGCAUUCGUGAGGGAGAAGGGUAUUUGAGGGGAUGGGAUGGGAAAAAGGGAAAGCCUUCGUCUAUUGAAGGGGAUCAUUUGUUCUUGGGUUUUGAUUCAUCUAUUCUAUUUGGUGCGGCCAAUGGAAUCGAACAGUUUGUUGGAUAUUCUGAAGAUCUUGUCAAAGCCACUUUUCAAUGUUACAUCGUUGAUGAGGAUGGGAAUACUAUCAAUUCUUGCACGGUGAAGAAGUGUGCAAUCCAACCACUCUAUACUAGUGAUAUGACAAGGUCUCAGACGAAAAUCUUAAGCAGACAGGACAUAACCAAAGGAUUGACCACCAGGUUUGCAGGGUUUCUUGACAAGGUGUUGCGAAGUUUGGACCUAUAUGACGCAGUCUCAUUAGGCAUCAUGAAUGUUCUUGGUGAUUUAAACGUAAAUGUUGUCCAUCAGGGUGGAUAUGUUUAUAUCACUAUAAAAUGUGAAAACGCAGGCCUGCCUAUAGGCCUUCAAAUUUUGAAUGUGCAUCUUGGGACUGCACCACUUGCAGUCAAGCUAGUUGAAAUGGCUGAACCAUCUCGAGAUCCAAGGGCGUUCUCAAUUGAGUUCUCAGAUGUAGACGGGGGGGAUUUUGGUUGCAGAAUCAAAGUUAAAAAAUGCGAGUUCCGUCCUUUGCAGAGUCAUGUCAUGCUAAUUGACAGAUCUGCUGUUACGUAAGGCCGGUGGAGAUUUGACACAAUGUCUGUGACGUGAGUUUGCCCCUUCUCUGAAUUUUGCAGGUUUACGCAAUAUCUGCUUCAACACCAUCAAUGGCAAAAGCUCGGCAAGUAUCUCAUCGCCUGUGUGUGUGUCAGUGUGUGUACGCGUAUAUGAAUAGAUUCAUGAGACCCAUCUAGCAACAUUUUGAGCAUACUCUCCUUGUGGGACUGAAACGAAAAUUUUAGUAACAAUUUUUUCUUCUUCAGAAUUUUGGGAUCUAUACCUAUGUAUAUAAUCUCUACAAAAUUUAGGGGUCCAAUUCAAUGUUU